rnacentral:rRNA from 1 species
GACGAACGCUGGCGGCGUGCCUAAUACAUGCAAGUAGAACGCUGAAGGAGGAGCUUGCUUCUCUGGAUGAGUUGCGAACGGGUGAGUAACGCGUAGGUAACCUGCCUGGUAGCGGGGGAUAACUAUUGGAAACGAUAGCUAAUACCGCAUAAUAGUAGAUGUUGCAUGACAUUUGCUUAAAAGGUGCAAUUGCAUCACUACCAGAUGGACCUGCGUUGUAUUAGCUAGUUGGUGGGUAACGGCUCACCAAGGCGACGAUACAUAGCCGACCUGAGAGGGUGAUCGGCCACACUGGGACUGAGACACGGCCCAGACUCCUACGGGAGGCAGCAGUAGGGAAUCUUCGGCAAUGGACGGAAGUCUGACCGAGCAACGCCGCGUGAGUGAAGAAGGUUUUCGGAUCGUAAAGCUCUGUUGUAAGAGAAGAACGAGUGUGAGAGUGGAAAGUUCACACUGUGACGGUAUCUUACCAGAAAGGGACGGCUAACUACGUG